rnacentral:rRNA from 1 species
GACGAACGCUGGCGGCGUGCUUAACACAUGCAAGUCGAACGGCAAGGCCCUGCUUUUGUUGGGUGCUCGAGUGGCGAACGUGUGAAUCACACGUGAGUCACCUGCCCUUGACUUUGGCAUACCUUCAGGAAACUGGGGCUUAUACCGGAUAGGAGCUCCUCCUGCAUUGUGGGGGUUGGAAAGUUUCGGCGGUUGGGGAUGGACUCGCGGCUUAUCAGCUUGUUGGUGGGGUAGUGGCUUACCAAGGCUUUGACGGGUAGCCGGCCUGAGAGGGUGAACGGCCACAUUGGGACUGAGAGACGGCCCAGACUCCUACGGGAGGCAGUAGUGGGGAAUAUUGCACAAUGGGCGGAAGCCUGAUGCAGCAACGCCGCGUGCGGGAUGACGGCCUUCGGGGUGUAAACCGCUUUCGCCUGUGACGAAGCGUGAGUGACGGUAAUGGGUAAAGAAGCACCGGCUAACUACGUG